GGACUACACGGGUAUCUAAUCCUUUUUGCUCCCCACGCUUUCGCAUCUCAGUGUCAGGAAGGUCCCAGUGCACUGCCUUCGCCUUUGGUGUUCCCCACGAUAUCAACGGAUUUCACCCCUACACCGUGAGUUCCAUGCACCUCUAACCUCCUCUAGUCUUGUCGUAUCUCCUGCACUUCCAGGGUUAGGCCCUGGGCUUUAACAGAAGACGCACAAAACCACCUACAUGCUCUUUACGCCCAAUAAAUCCGAAUAACGCUUGAGGUCUACGUAUUACCGCGGCUGCUGGCAC
rnacentral:rRNA from 1 species